ensembl:lncRNA
UAGAGAGAGGUAUUCGGAUCUGAGUACCAGCAAGAAGAAGAAACAGAGGAAGAAGUCCCCCAUAAGGAAGGUGUGAGGAGUGCAGGAAUCGCUGUUUCCCUGCCUGAGGUCUUUAUUCUACGUAGCUGAUACGCUGUAAGAUUCUGGAAGAGAAGGCUAGGGGUUGAAAGGUUGGUAAUCUCUCAGAAGAUCUGUGUCUCGGUGACGGGAAAAACUACGGCUACUCACAGAUGGAAUUCUAAACUGGUAGCAGACCCUGAAGGACAAUGUCACCAUCAGAACCACCAACAAGGACAAACUGUCCCUCUCCUGCAUCACCCUGCAUAUCAUCGGCAUCCACAAAAAUGCUCAUUCUUCAACAAGCCUCCUAUUUCUUUUGGGUGACUGGAAACACUACCCAGAACCUCCAUCACAUACUUUAGCACUCCCCACCCUGACUUAGGGUCCCAUAUGCCUCCUGUUUCUUCUUGACCAGUGACCUGCCACUGUGGGCACUGUCAUUCUGCAUGUCAGUGAGUGCAAAGUGCUGUGGUGUUCAUGCAGACUAUCUUUGAGCUGACUCUGCGGGCCAGUGACCAGGGUUCAACUUGCUCAGUAUCAUCCUGAACUUGCAUGUGAUGGUGGAUGACCAUUGUGAAAAUGCAAGGACACUACGCCAGGAGUUACAGCCAGGUGGGGCCCUCUUUGAUGCUGCACCACUCACAAUGCAACUGAGCUAUCCCAUCACCAAAGUGGACACCAGCUGGGGCACAAAGGUUGACUGUCCUAUCGUGCUUCAGGUCAGCUAAUGUGGCUCUUCAAACUAGGGAUGUGCACGAGCUAGAUGCGUGCUGUGUCACUGUGGGUAACAGAGAUGCAACCUGCCAAGGUUUGUUGGUCACCAUGCUCAAUGGUGAAUCAUCACGCUGUACCUGGUUGCUGCUCACAGUUUGCAGGAGUUGCUGCCAGACCUCAGCAAUCACCCAGCACCCAACAGCAGGCAACAGACAGCACCCAACAGCUGUAGUUUAACCUGGGAUGGCCUUUGCCUUGAUCUCCAUGCUAUUUCUCCUCAGUGUGACUCUGGGCAUCUUUCUGAACCUGCAAUGCCCUCUAUAGCCCCAUUGCCUGGGGCUGCUUUCAGCCAGAUCUCUGGUCCAAGCCUGGAUAUGGAGUUGUCUCCAACUUAAAGGAAGGAAAUUUGCCAUGUUCCUACAACGUAUGUGUGGCUUUAGGUAUUUUUAAAAUCUUAAUGUCUUUAAAUUAACUCAAGAAACAGCUUUCAACCAGAUAUUCUCUGCAGUGCCAGCUAUGAAGCUUUGUUUUGUUUUGUUUUUGUUUUUGUAGAAACGGGGUUCACUAUGUUGAUCAAGCUGGUCUCAAACUCCUGGCCUCAAGUGAUCUGCCCACCUUGGCCUCCUAAAGUGCUGGGAUUGCAGGCAUGAGCCACUGUGCCUGGCCAGCAAUGAAGCUUUAAAUGUUACAUUUGAUUCAAAUGUAUUUGUGUGAUAUUUUAACAUUUUUAUUUUAUACUUAUCAUCCUUUUAUAAAUCACUCCUGCGUGUUUUUGGUUGCUGAGAGUAGGGAGCCCUACAGGUUUACUUGCUAGUUCUUAUGUAUAUUUUAAUUUGCCUCAUUAGCUCACAGUUUCUUUGGGGAAAAGUUUGUGCCUAUUAAUGUGUAUUCUGGAAAGUUACGUUCUCUGUUAAAGAGUUCCUUCCUUGCAGUAUCAAAGGUGAUUUAUUGCAUUUUUAAAUUUCUACUCUUUGGCUCCAUAUACUUGUCUUUGAGAAGCUGAGAAACUGUAGAUUUAGUUAUAUAAGAACUAAAAUUCUCUUUCCAAAAACUA